CUUUCUCCCAAAAUCUCCAAAUUUGACUAUUUGGUCGGUGGAUUUCUUCACUAAUCCAUCGUAGAAGGAUUGUUUGGCUUCUCGAUGAUUACUAUGACACUCGACACCGGGCUUACUUUAUGUCGGAGAAGCAGCGGGAGCUUCAACCUCUGAAGAUUUGGUCUCACCUGGUCACAGCUGGUGGCAUGCGCUAUGAUGAGCGGUACACACCGUACAUCAGGGAGACAAGACUCCUCCCUUUCAUUUAGCUGGUCAGCCGGUCGACGCCGAACCUCAAUGCUGCAACAAUCACCGCGCUUGUUGAUCGGUGGAGGACAGAGACACACAAUUUCCAUCUUCGGACCGGAGAGAUGACCGUGACACUCUAGGAUAUCUCUAUGAUCGUCGGGCUUCCUAUCGAGGGGAAUCCUCUCUGUAUGAGUAUCGAUUCUGAUGGGCGGCGCCAGCAGAUGGAGGCCCUUAUCGGUAUGGCUCCUCCAGAGCCUCCAGAACCAGAAGGAGACAAGAAGAAGGAAAGAGUCGCAGUCGGUGCUCCUUUCACCUGGAUUGCAUGGCACUUUGGGAAUUGCCCUGAGGAGGCUACCAAUGAAGAGGUCCAGACAUAUGCUCGU